AAGUCGUAACAAGGUCUCCGUAGGUGAACCUGCGGAGGGAUCAUUACAGAGUUCAUGCCCUUACGGGUAGAUCUCCCACCCUGUGUUAUUAUUACUUUGUUGCUUUGGCGGGCCGUCAGGCUCACGCCCGGCUACCGGCCCCGGCUGGUAAGCGCCCGCCAGAGGUUCAAUCAAUUCUAUUAUUAGUGAAGUCUGAGUAAAUAUCAAAUAAUCAAAACUUUCAACAACGGAUCUCUUGGUUCUG
rnacentral:misc_RNA from 1 species